AGGGUGUAAACGCUGCAGACUUGGUGUUGGGAACCCUUCGGGGGUGCUCAGUGCCGGAGAGAAGUUGUUAAGUCUGCUACUUGGGGAGUACGUCCGCAAGGAUGAAACUUAAAGGAAUUGGCGGGGGAGGCACCGCAACGGGAGGAGCGUGCGGUUUAAUUGGAUUCAACGCCGAAAAACUCACCAGCAGCGACUGUUACAUGAAAGUCAGGUUGAUGACCUUGCUUGACAAGCUGAGAGGAGGUGCAUGGCGUGUGACUGU
rnacentral:rRNA from 1 species